rnacentral:rRNA from 1 species
AUUAAAAACCAAUGCCCUUCGGGGCUCUCUGGUGAUUCAUAAUAACUUCUCGAAUCGCACGGCCUUGCGCCGGCGAUGGUUCAUUCAAAUUUCUGCCCUAUCAACUUUCGACGGCUGGGUCUUGGCCAGCCGUGGUGACAACGGGUAACGGAGGGUUAGGGCUCGACCCCAGAGAAGGAGCCUGAGAAACGGCUACUACAUCCAAGGAAGGCAGCAGGCGCGCAAAUUACCCAAUCCCGACACGGGGAGGUAGUGACAAUAAAUACUGAUACAGGGCUCUUUCGGGUCUUGUAAUUGGAAUGAGUACAAUUUAAAUCCCUUAACGAGGAACAAUUGGAGGGCAAGUCUGGUGCCAGCAGCCGCGGUAAUUCCAGCUCCAAUAGCGUAUAUUAAAGUUGUUGAGGUUAAAAAGCUCGUAGUUGAACCUUGGGCCUAGCCGGCCGGUCCGCCUCACCGCGUGCACUGGCUCGGCUGGGUCUUUCCUUCUGGAGAACCGCAUGCCCUUCACUGGGUGUGCC